UCACAAUUUCAAGAUUGAGAGAUGUCACCUGAAAACAGAGAAUAAACUUGGGUCUUGACCUAGGCUUGGUGAUCUUGGGUCUUGCAUGGUAGGACAGCCCAAUAAUAAAGGAUUUGGUUAUGGUUUUAUUUAUUUAUUUAUUGUCAUGAUUGAUUUUUUUAUGGUUUGAUUUGUUGUUUUUAUUAUGGAUUCUUAGAUCAACCUUAUUUUCAUGAUAUGAUUUCGAUCCCUAAGUUCUUUCUCUUUUUCAAACUCCGAUGGAAUUGAAAUUUAGAAAUGUUUGGUAUACGUCGAUCCCUAAGUUAUUUUUGUAUAUGUUCUGUAUAAAUGAUUUUAUUUUGGUAUUUGUUCUGUAUAAAUGAUUUUAUUUCUGUAUAUGUUUGGUAUUUGUCAUGUUUUUUUUUUCCGUUCAAAUGUUUUUUACAUGUGUUUUUGUGUAUAUGUUUGACAUAUACACAAGGUUGGCAUAUGUUCUGUAAUAGAGAAGAGCACCCCCUUAAGGUCUUCCUCCAAUGGUUGUGAGUUUGUAUUUUGCUUGUAUAUAUAAAUUUUAAAUGUUUUGUUGAUUUUUUACUUUUAGAAUUUGAAAUGUUGGUUGAUUAUUUUUUUCUUUUUCAGAUUUAUUAAAAGCAUAAUAUAAAAACCAAGAAAGAUAUGUUGGUAUAUAUCGGUCGGAUUCAAAUCGGAUACGCAGGUAUCCUAAUCCACUGAUUUCGAUCGGACGACAGAGAUGGCAGAACGCUUUUGAGCUUAUUUAAAGGUGGACUUAUAGGAAUUGAAAUCUAAUUAAAUAAUAAUAUUAUUAUAUCGUAUUAAAUUACAUAUCUAGAUAGUGUUAGGAUUAGAAAAAUAUAUUAAAGAUAGAUAGUAUUAGUGUUAAAGAAAAAAGUUAAUCUAAAGUACCUAACCAUAAAUUUUCCCAAAAAAAUAACCCUUACACUAUAAAUAAUUUUCUAAUAAAGUUAAUUUAAAGUACCUAACCAUAAAAAAUUUCCUAAACCUUUGUCACCUUGCCCCCAACAUAGGACGUCGAUAAUCAUCUUCUCACCAAUAUAGUGAUUCUUCUGCCAUCGACGAUCAUCUUGCUCCACUCAAGAAUUUCAGACCUCGAUUCUUCUCAACUCAAGAAAGGUAUGUGUGAUGAUUCUUCUUCCAUUGUUUUCUCCAAAUUUUCCCAUCGUUCUCCCAUCAUGUGAUAAAUUUUCCCAUGAUUUCUCCCAAAUUAUUUUCCCAUGAUUUUUCCAUCGUGUGAUUAACCUUUCUUAUCCCCCCCUUUCUUGGACCUAGAGCUGAGAUUUUUUAUGAUGGAAUAGUCCCUAUCUUGUGUUUUUAGUCGGGUAUAGAAUUUAAUCCUUGAAUCUCUUCCUCUGAUUGACUUCUGAUUUGGUUUCUCUCUCUAUGCAAUCUUCUGGUUUCUCUUUCUAUAGAAAGCACAAUGUGGAGUAGGGUUAUCAAUAGCCAAACCAUGCAAAUUUUGUCUUUUUCUUCUUUGUUCAAUUUGGUGUGAGACUAGAUUCUAAUCUGAUCGAAUACUGUUCCAUCAGUGCGUGUAUGAGUUGAGGGUUGUUGAUCUGGGAUUACUUGAGAAUUGAGAUUGAUCUCAGGGUACACUGUGAGAAUUACUGAAGCCAUUUUCAACCAAAAAAGCUUGUAACCUCAUGUAUCAAGCCUUUGGUGUCUGUUUUAGUCCAUAUAUGACUUUUUGCAAUAAACUGGUACUUGAUGACUUCAUCACUCAUCAGUAUUGUUAUUUUUACAACAGUUUGGUCAAAUGCUUCCCAAAAUUUAUCACAACAAAGAUGCAAAUGAGUUGCUUUCCAAAAAAAGGAUGCAAAUGAGUCUCGUCUCACCAAGGCUCUUCAUCCGGAUCUGGAAUUUUUAAAUGAAUUUGGAUUUUAACGGCGGAUUUUCCGGACAUCCGAAUCCGUCUGAAUAAAAUCUGUAUAUCAAUUUAGGUUUCCGAAUCCGGAAUCCGGAUAGUCAUAUUCGAAUUCGAAUGCAGAUUCGAAUACGGAUUCCGGUAUACCAUUUACCGGCUUAAUUCCGGGUAUGUCUCUGAUUCAUUUGAAGCAUGGUUUUAGUAUGCGAGUGGCCGAGUUGAGCAAGAACAGAUUGAAUAAUGCCUUCCAUACUUCCGGCGAUGUCUUCAGAUUGGCGACCUCAGUUAGAAUUAAGCCUGUAAAUGGUAUACCGGAAUCUGUAUUCGAAUCCGCAUUCGAAUUCGAAUAUGACUAUCCGGAUUCGGAUACUAAAUUGAUAUCUCCGGAUUUUAUUCGGACGGAUUCCGAUAUCCGGAAAAUCCGCCGUUAAAAUCCGAAUUUGUUUAAAAAUUUCAGAUUUGAAUAUCCGAAUAAAUAUAAAUUGACUUUCGGAUAUCCGAAUUUUAGGGUGAUUAAUUGACUGUUAAUUAACUUUAUUAAUGGUGAUUUUAUAUUUUUAUAAUUUUAUUUUAAUUUUUUAUAAAAAGUUAUUACCCUGAUUAUUCGGAUUUUCAUAUUUGGAUUUUAUUCGGUCGGAUUCGGAUAUCCGGAUAAUUAUUCGGAUUCGGAUACCUACGUAUUCGAUCCUAAUCCGACCGAUAUAUAUAUAUGCUUAGUUAGAAUUGUUCUGAGGGCAGCUAGCAGCUAACCAAGAAUAAUCUUAUCAUGUCUUGCAUGGAUCGUAGAAGUGGAGAGAUCGAUUUUGCCUUCCAAAAAUUCCAGCAGCUUCCAAAAUCUGAGAAUGGCGGAGAUUUGUGCCUUCCAUGGCACAUAGUUAUCCUGAUUUAGGGAAACAAAUGUCAACUUCUUAACAUACAACAACGAUGAAUUGCUGUUUUUAGAAGCCGAUUCAGUGGUUGUAGUUUCCAUCUCCAAAUUUGCAGCGGAAGAACUAUCAGAAAGUUUGUUUGAACCUGAACAAGAGAUUGUGUGAAACCGUCAGGAUCACGGAUGAUUUCAUUCUAUUUGUAAUAUCUUAAAUAACAAACAAAUAACAGAUAUGGUUGUGAAUUACCCACUACAUGGGUAUUUAUGUAAUUACAAUAUUAUAUAACAAUACAUCUAACUUAAACUGUUGAAGUUAACAUAAAUUACAUCAGAUAAAUGAAAAGUAACUAAAUCAUGUAUAUGAAAUUAUGCAUGAAAUUAAUUAUAUGAAAUUAUGCAUGAAACCAUUUAUCUUAGAUUUGCCGCUAUUCACUGCUUCUCUUGAUCAAUUUUGUCGAGAUAUGUUAUCAUCCCCACUCUAGUCUGAGUCUUAUAAAUGAAAAUUUUAUUUUAUUUUUCUUUAAUAAUCUUACCCAAAAC
rnacentral:lncRNA from 1 species